rnacentral:rRNA from 1 species
GUGGGGAAUCUUCCGCAAUGGACGAAAGUCUGACGGAGCGACGCCGCGUGAGUGAUGAAGGCCUUCGGGUCGUAAAGCUCUGUCAUCGGGGACGAACGGCCUCAGCAGGUAAUGGCUGGGGAUUGACGGUACCCGAGAAGGAAGCCACGGCUAACUACGUGCCAGCAGCCGCGGUAAUACGUAGGUGGCAAGCGUUGUCCGGAAUUAUUGGGCGUAAAGCGCGCGCAGGUGGGAUCUUAAGUCCAUUUUGAAAGUUCGGAGCUCAACUCCGUGAUGGGAUGGAAACUGGGAUUCUUGAGUACCGGAGAGGAAAGCGGAAUUCCCCGUGUAGCGGUGAAAUGCGUAGAUAUGGGGAGGAACACCAGUGGCGAAGGCGGCUUUCUGGACGGUGUCUGACACUGAGGCGCGAAAGCCAGGGGAGCGAACGGGAUUAGAAACCCUUGUAGUCC